GUCCCCUUCGUCUAGAGGCCUAGGACACCGCCCUUUCACGGCGGUAACAGGGGUUCGAAUCCCUGGGGACGCCA
rnacentral:tRNA from 1 species